rnacentral:rRNA from 1 species
GUCCACCUACGGGGCGCAGCAGUGGGGAAUAUUGCACAAUGGGGGAAACCCUGAUGCAGCGACGCCGCGUGAGCGAUGAAGUAUUUCGGUAUGUAAAGCUCUAUCAGCAGGGAAGAAAAUGACGGUACCUGACUAAGAAGCCCCGGCUAACUACGUGCCAGCAGCCGCGGUAAUACGUAGGGGGCAAGCGUUAUCCGGAUUUACUGGGUGUAAAGGGAGCGUAGACGGCGGGGCAAGCCAGAUGUGAAAGCCCGGGGCUCAACCCCGGGACGGCAUUUGGAACUGUGCUGC